rnacentral:rRNA from 1 species
CGGCGGACGGGUGAGUAACGCGUGGGUAACCUGCCUCAUACAGGGGGAUAACAGUUAGAAAUGACUGCUAAUACCGCAUAAGACCACAGGAUCGCAUGAUCCGGUGGUAAAAACUCCGGUGGUAUGAGAUGGACCCGCGUCUGAUUAGCCAGUUGGCAGGGUAACGGCCUACCAAAGCGACGAUCAGUAGCCGACCUGAGAGGGUGACCGGCCACAUUGGGACUGAGACACGGCCCAA